rnacentral:lncRNA from 1 species
CCCGAAUCAGUUCCACUCAGCUCCAGCAUCAACUAUCAAAACACCCUGGUGGGUGGUUUUGGGGUCAGUCUUUCAUGUUCUAAUCUUAACAAUUUAUAUGAAGGCACUACUAAGACAUUAUUCACAUUAAACUUCAUCUUAUCCUGAAGAGCUAACAUUCAUUUCUUCUACUAUGCAACCACUGCUAAGGUUGUCUAACUUCUACUAGCAUCCUCCAUCUAGGAUAUCAUAGCUAUAAGGCAUCCCCUGAACACAUUUAACUAGAGCUACCAUCCAUUAUUCGAACUUAAGAUAACAACACUGUGGGCCUCUAGUGGCCCAGUACUAUCAUGUGGGACACUAGUGGCCCAAUAGCUAAAAAUGGGACGCUAGUGGGCCAAUGGCUAAUAACGAGACUCUAGUAGCCCAAUAGCUAAUAACGGAUCUCCGGUGGUCUGAAAUGUUAACAUUGGAUCUCUAGUGGUCCAAUUGAUAAUAGUAGGUCUCUAGUGUCCUAAUUAUCCAAGCCUUGGAUCUCUAGUGGUCCAAGAACGUACACCGACAUUCUAGAUCGGGGGUCUAGCUAGAGAGUUACAUUCUGUUAUAUCACUUAGUCGACGCUUAGCAUAGUUCUUUCUUGGUCACUAACCAGCUAAUCAUAUCAUCUUCUAACUAAUUUAAUCAUCUAGGCAGAUAGGCGCAUCAUAAGAAUAAACUAAAUGACAUAAACAUAAAUGUAUUGAACUACAUAAUUUAAACAUAAUAGAAAACAAGCAUAACCUACCUACGGCAACAAUAAGAAUUUACCCCCCCCUUCAAUCACCCAACUAAUUGAUGAGCCGACAUCUCAUAAUUAUAUCCAAGAUGAUUCCCCUUGUAGCCACAAAUCCGCUGCUUCUGACAGCAUAUCGUUUGGAGCUCAAACGGUCGAGUUAUACUCCCAAUACUCGUUUGAUAAAAUGUUGAAACUAGCAUGGGCAGAAUCAACAUUUUACUGCUGAGCUGAACAAAUCUCAAAAUCAGCCCACACAUUUCAAACUACUGCAAAACAUACCCUAAUUAAUCAACUAAUUGCAGGUCAGUGAUCUAACUUCCAGAAAGUAUAUACUAGUUCCCAAACUUAUAAACAUUCCAUAUGGGUCACUUAACUUUCAGAAGUUUGCAGAACCAUCACCGAACUCUCUGUAACUGCUGGGUGGUCUUGUUCUCCGGCGAGCUCCUUGCCGCCUACGAGUCUUGCUGUGAUUCUUGUGACGCCGUCGGCGAGGCUCCAAACUACUUGCAGCUUCGGUUUCUAGCCUCGGUUCACCCUAACUCCUCCGAUCAAUGUUCCGACGACUCCAUAUCCCUCUUGCCAGAUUGCUACAACUCCACACGAGCCCUAGCCGUCGAUUGCACACCGGCGGAACCUCCCUCUAAUCCAACUCCGUGAUCGCAAGCUCCCGCCAAUUCUCCUUCAAUCGUCCUCCGAGGAUUGUCUUUGCCAUCUCCUUUUUGAAUCCUCAAGCUUUGUCCUCAAAAUCAAAACACGGGCCUGCACCUUCGAUCAAUUAUCCAUUAGUGGUGCAGAACGCCGUCACCAGCUUUCACAAUUUAGGUUUUUUUGGGAGCACCUCCAUGAUUGAGGCUCCUCUUUCUUAAAUAUAAUGGAUGCCUGCACAUCGCUA